rnacentral:lncRNA from 1 species
AUAGGAGUCCUUUGGGGACAGAAACUGAAUUCCGCUUGUUAUUAACCUCUCCCCUUCCCUGGGCUGUGCCUUUCACCCGAACUCUGGUCCCGCCUUUCUCUGACACUCAGUUCAUUGGUUAUAUAUUUCCUAACGUUUGGCCUUUUAUCUCUCUCCUUCUCUGAGUGCCUUUUUCACAAGUGAAUUCUUUGGUUCAACAAGUCUCCAUGAAACACAUGCUUGGCAUAAUGCUGGGCCCCAGCAAACCUGAGGUUAUCCUUGUGUUAUCCUCACUCUAUCAAUGAAGGGACAGAAGAUCACCGACUCCUGAGAGCUCCCCGUUACCAAUACCGUCUGCACUGACUAGUGAAGAGAUUUUCAGCUUCAAGCAGCCACAAAGCCUCCCAAGCUGGAUUCAGGAAUUGAGAGAAUGAUUGGUUUGUACAAAUGAAAGAAGCAGGAUGAACCUCGGGUUUCACCCGAGUUGAGUCUGCUCUCAGAACAGGGAUGCCCACUGCCCUGUCCAGUACCAAAUGCUUCUGAGUGAAAGAAAGGAGCCUCUUCUCUGCCAGUGGAGGGAAGUUCUGGGCUGUCCCUCUGGCGCUGUGGCCUCUCGAUCCCCAGCCAGACACUGCUGCAGGAGAAUGGUGCGUCUGCGCGUGUGGCGGGAUAGGACCCUUAGACCUCCGACCUGAACACCACGCGCUCAGCCCAGGUUUUGGUGUGAGCUGUAUUUGGUCAACUGAGAAGUUAAAUUUUGCUGUGUGCCUGGAACCUGCAAUUCUGCAUCUGUUUGAAGGCUCAUUUUCCGUGUGAUCCACCAGCAUAAGAAGGUCAUCACAAAAUUUGCGAUGCAUCAUCAGUGGUUCCAGGGAGCCACUCCACCGUGCGGAGGGGCCAGGGUGGAGAUGUCAGGGGUUCCUCUUGCUGGACCAUGAGUGACGGAGAACAGCCCGUAUCGUUGCUCCUCAAGGGUGGGGAAGCAGUAAAACAUCAGGGAUAGGCCUGCAGGUGACAACAAAGGACAGGUCAGAGUUUACACGGUCGCUGACACAUGUAAGUAUGGGCGCUUCUUGGGUUACAGUGGAGCUACGUCCUGAUGAGUACCAAGAGCUGACAGUGUCACAGUUGCCAUGCACUGGACUCGUCUGUCUGCCAAACACCACAGCCCGUCCUGAGCUUCUCAGGUCUGCUCUGGGCACUCACCUUCGCUUGCCUUUGGGUAAAACCAUCUAACACAGGGCCUAUCUUACAAUAAAGCGUGGAUUGACCAUGAAAUUUACCCACUGCUGUUCUGAAAGUAAAAGGCAGAAUGGUGUGUGGAUGUGCUGUGGUACUAUUCUAAAGCCAAAAACUCAAAAACCAACUACUAUAAGUUGAAAACUUUCAGCACUGGCUCUCAGCAGCCUCGGACAUUACGAUAAUGUGAACGUGAUGCUCAUAGAAGUUCAUCCCGCUUAUUUUGCCUGAUUCACAGCUUCUCAUUGCACCUUGACUUAAAAAAAUCUGAUCUUUCCUUUAACACCAGUCAAAUAGAGUGAUGGAUCUUCAAGGGCACUGACUGUCCUGCACCAGACUUGUGAGCAGCUCCCCUCAGCCUGUCCCACUGAAAUUGAGGGCUGUGGGGUUGGAACAUGUGUGGUGCCCGUCAUUUCAUUGUUCAAACCUUGAGAAGUGGAAAUUUCUUUGCAGGUGUUCCAAUAAUUACUUCCAUAUGUCACAUUCACUGCUUCCAAAAGCAGGCCAGGCCUUCUCUAACCACGUAAGCAGCUCUCUGGGGAGACCAGCACUCGGUCCCCAACUUGACAUUUGCCACUGAGAGCGGCAAAUCAUGUGAUAGACUGUCCACCGCGAGACAGGAUGUGAGGCCCCCGGAAAUGCAGCUUCUUGCUGAACACUGUCCUGCAUGAUCGGAACCCCAUGCACUUCCUCGCUCCACUCGAAAGCCAUGACACUGUCGAUCACAAUGGCAGAAGUAAUUGGCAUCGAUUCAGAUGCAGACCUGGCCACAGAUGUGCAACCCACUGCACGUUUGAUUGUUUUUUUCUCUUUGCCAGUAUAAGUGAACUCUGUAAAGAUGUGAUUAAUGCCCUGUAUGUUGUUAAAUCCUCUGCAUAAAAACAGCUUGUAGCACAAAACAAAUGUUCAGUAAAUGAUAAAUACUCAAUGAAUAAAUGAAUGGACGUCAUCUGACUUCCCAUAGUACACAUGAGGGGCUUCCAGGUGGACGCGCCUCGAGGGGUGGAAACCUCCGGUCUGGGGAAGUGGUUUCCGCCCAGUUCUGCUCACUGGCCAGGCAUGGUCCCCACCUGCUCACCAGUCUCCUUGUUACCCGAUAUUCCUUAGCAUUGGGCUCUUCAGGAGGAGAUGUGAGCAGAAAGGUCAGAACAAAUGCGCAGUGAAUAAAAAUGGAGGGGAGAAUAUUAUAGGACUAAAUCCUCAAAAAGUGGUAGGUAUCAGCUGUUUGAGAGGGGGAAAGAAAUCUUAACUUCAAGUUUGGAUAUAACCAGGAACAAAAGGCGGUAGGUACUACGUGGGAUUUCCUUCACUGCUUCCGAGACCCUUCCCUAUCUUUUGUCUUAUUUGCAUGAAGACAGAAAUAAUCCACCUGUAAAAUAGAGAAGGGGUUGUUUUACAGGAAACAGGAAGAAGAAAGGCAACUCAGCUGAAGAAAAGAAACAAGGAAGAGGCACAGGAGCUGGGAGAGGGUCCUGGUCCCGGGGAACUUUCGUGGGCUUCAUAAGCCUCGGUUUCUUCAUCUGCGACUACAAGGCAACAUUCUCUUGCAAAUCUUCAC